rnacentral:rRNA from 1 species
CCCUUAGAUGUUCUGGGCCGCACGCGCGCUACACUGACGAUGGCAACGAGUUUUUCCUUCGCCGAAAGGUGUGGGUAAUCUUUUGAAACAUCGUCGUGCUGGGGAUAGAUCAUUGCAAGUUUUGAUCUUGAACGAGGAAUUCCUAGUAAGCGCGAGUCAUCAGCUCGCGUUGAUUACGUCCCUGCCCUUUGUACACACCGCCCGUCGCUACUACCGAUUGAAUGGUUUAGUGAGGACUCCUGAUUGGCGCCGCCGCCCCGGCAACGGAGCAGCGGACUGCCGAAAAGUUGUUCAAACUUGAUCAUUUAGAGGAAGUAAAAGUCGUAACA